UAGUAAAUAACUUGCUCCCAGGAAAAGAACCGAUGAGGAGGCCCCCGGGGCGCUACAGCCUUCCUUCCAAGGGGACAAAUCCUCCUCACUUUAACAAAUUGGUGUUUCCGCCCGUGACCUGGAAGCAGGACAACAGAGCCACCGACGGAAAAAGCUCCACAGCCUGCGGCCGAAACAACUGAUAAGGAUGGAUUAACCUACAAGGGGCACAGAGACUAACUUUGCUCCUAAACUACAGAAGGAGGGAUGGUUUGCAGCUGCUGAGAUGCGAACAUUAAGGAAAUGACUGGAUGCCCACUGCUUUGGACGAGAAAAGAACACUGGCAGUGAUGGGUUGAUGGAAGGUCAUGGGAUCAUCGGACAAGACGGAUGAAAAAA